CCUACGGGCGGCAGCAGUGAGGAAUCUUGGUCAAUGGGCGCGAGCCUGAACCAGCCAAGUAGCGUGAAGGAUGACUGCCCUACGGGUUGUCAACUUCUUUUAUAAAGGAAUAAAGUGAGGCACGUGUGCCUUUUUGUAUGUCCUUUAUGAAUAAGGAUCGGCUAACUCCGUGCCAGCAGCCGCGGUAAUACGGAGGAUCCGAGCGUUAUCCGGAUUUCUUGGGUUUAAAGGGGGCGUAGAUGGGUUGUUAAGUCAGUUGUGAAAGUUUGCGGCUCAACCGUAAAAUUGCAAUUGAUACUGGCAGGCUUGAGUACAGUUGAGGUAGGCGGAAUUCGUGGUGUAGCGGUGAAAUGCGUAGAUAUCACGAAGAACACCGAUUGCGAAGGCAGCUUACUAAACUGCCACUGACAUUGAUGCUCGAAAGUGUGGGUAGCAAACAGGAUUAGAUACCCGAGUAGUC
rnacentral:rRNA from 1 species